UCAUUACUUUGCCACAAUAGUAUUUAAGCACCGGAUUCCUAUUAAGCCAAUCAUUAAUCAAUCACAAUGCACAUCUCACUUGUUGCAAUUUUCGUGUGUUGUUCAUUGGCCACGAUCGGUGCCCUCCCUUACCCUUCACCCCAGGAAGUACAAGAGAUUGCCUUCCGCAUGCAAAAUGAGGCCAACAAUAUAAUUUCAGGAUCACCCUUUCGUCAAGUGGGCGUUUUUGGAGUAAUCCCAGUAAUAAUAAGACUAGCACUUCAGAUUCUAAUUUUGCCACUCAUUUAUUCUCUUUUCACUGUAUUAAGUUUGCCUGUGACGCUCAUCCAAUUUUUUGUCUCAAUUCCUUUUAAAGUGAUUGGUUUUGUUUUGGGUUUUCCGUGGAGUUUGGGUAGUUUAAUUUUCAGUAUCGUUACUUUUCCCAUAUUUUUAAUACGAACUGUUGUGACGAUAAUUAUUCAAAUUAUUAGUCCUGUAAUAAGUAUUGUCAGUUUUUUGACAAAAGUGGUCUCGUUCCUGGCCGGCUUGCCCAUAACAAUAUCCGACACUGUGUAUUUGUACGGAUAAUUGAUGGAACUUCAAAUAAAAUAAAUGCUAACACAUGAAAAAAUGCGUUUUAUUUC